AUUUAGGAAUCUGGCAGUUUGUGUUUUCUGAACAUGGAAAUCAUCAUCAGGCGUGGCUUCAUCACAUUAUUUGUGUUUUUGCUGUGGACUCCAGGACUUACAGAUGGAUCUGAUGUCACCCAGGAAUCCACAGUGUGGAACAAAAAGGAUGAAAAUGUGACGAUACACUGCAGCCACAAUAAGGGAAUAGAGUAUUACCAGAUGUACUGGUACAGACAACUACCAAGAGAAACAAUAAAACAAGUCGUUUUCACUACUGCAAACAGUAACCCUGAUUAUGAACGUGGCUUCAGUGAGGAGAAACACGCCGUCACUAAGCCUGAUGCUUUCAGUGGAACGUUCACAGUCAAGAACCUGGUGCCAGAAGAUAACGGCUUGUAUUUCUGUGCUGGGGACCUCGAGUACCACAAAUACUCCCUGAUACACUGUGAUACAAUAUGUGGGUUUUGAUACACCAGCUGACAGGCAGCAGUGCUCCCAUUCAUGUCUCUACAAGUCAGCCCCUCCCAUCACAUA